CCUACGGGAGGGCAGCAGUGGGGAAUAUUGGACAAUGGGCGAAAGCCUGAUCCAGCCAUGCCGCGUGUGUGAAGAAGGCCUUCGGGUUGUAAAGCACUUUCAGUGGGGAAGAAAGCCUUGGGGCUAAUACCCUCGAGGAAGGACAUCACCCACAGAAGAAGCACCGGCUAACUCCGUGCCAGCAGCCGCGGUAAUACGGAGGGUGCGAGCGUUAAUCGGAAUUACUGGGCGUAAAGCGCGCGUAGGCGGUCUGAUAAGCCGGUUGUGAAAGCCCCGGGCUCAACCUGGGAACGGCAUCCGGAACUGUCAGGCUAGAGUGCAGGAGAGGAAGGUAGAAUUCCCGGUGUAGCAGUGAAAUGCGUAGAGAUCGGGAGGAAUACCAGUGGCGAAGGCGGCCUUCUGGACUGACACUGACGCUGAGGUGCGAAAGCGUGGGUAGCAAACAGGAUUAGAUACCCCGGUAGUC
rnacentral:rRNA from 1 species